GAUGCGCGUGAGUAAGAAGGCUUUGGGUUGUAAGCUCUUUUGUAGGGGAAGAUAUGACUGUCCCUAAGAAUAAGGUCCGGCUAACUUCGUGCCAGCAGCCGCGGUAAUACGAAGGGACCUAGCGUAGUUCGGAAUUACUGGGCGUAAAGCGCGCGUAGGCCGUUGAGUUAGUUAAUUGUGAAAUCCCAAAGCUUAACUUUGGAACUGCAAUUAAAACUGCUCGACUAGAGUUUGAUAGAGGAAAGCGGAAUACAUAGUGUAGAGGUGAAAUUCGUAGAUAUUAUGUAGAACACCAGUUGCGAAGGCGGCUUUCUGGGUCAACACUGACGCUGAGGCGCGAAAGUAUGGGUAGCAAAGAGGAUUAGAUACCCUCGUAGUCCAUACCAUAAACGAUGAUUGCUAGAUGUUGGAAAUUUAUUUUCAGUAUCGCAGCUAACGCAUUAAGCAAUCCGACUGNGGAGUACAACCGCAAGGUUAAACUCAAAUGAAUUGACGGGGAACCGCACAAGCGGUGGAGCAUGUGGUUAAUUCGAAGAUAGCGCAGAACCUUAACAAACCUUGAAUGUCUGUCGCGAGUUAGGAACUAGACUUUUCGGUCCGGCGGACAGAACCCGGUGUGCAUGGUGUCGUCAGUCCGGUGUGAGAGUUGGGUAACGUCGCGACGAGGAACCCGAUUUUGUUGGCCCGGGUUGUGGGCCUCUAAAAACUGACGUAAACGGAGACGUGGAUAGGUAAGCUCAUGCGUAGGUUGUCACUGUCACGUUGAUGAUCGGGGACGUGAUAUCAAUCCGGGGG
rnacentral:rRNA from 1 species